rnacentral:rRNA from 1 species
AGACCCGAAACCCGGUGAUCUAGCCAUGGGCAGGUUGAAGGUUGGGUAACACUAACUGGAGGACCGAACCGACUAAUGUUGAAAAAUUAGCGGAUGACUUGUGGCUGGGGGUGAAAGGCCAAUCAAACCGGGAGAUAGCUGGUUCUCCCCGAAAGCUAUUUAGGUAGCGCCUCGUGAAUUCAUCUCCGGGGGUAGAGCACUGUUUCGGCAAGGGGGUCAUCCCGACUUACCAACCCGAUGCAAACUGCGAAUACCGGAGAAUGUUAUCACGGGAGACACACGGCGGGUGCUAACGUCCGUCGUGAAGAGGGAAACAACCC